GGCUGGUGGGAACGGUGAAAGUCCCACCGAAAUCUUGGUCAGGAGCCCAGCAUUGUAUACUUCUACAGGUAAAUAUCAUCGAUGUGAUGUUCCAUCUGUGCUCCUGGAAAAAGUUGGAUGUGGUUAAGAUCUAGCCAACAAAAACUAUAUGCAGUGGUAGGGCUGCGGAAGAAUUCCACCAGCAGCCACAGGUAGAGAGACAGCGUGUCCCAGGUAGAGAGACAGCGUGUCCCUCUGAAGGGGAAGGCGAACUGUAGCUGUUGAAAAAGGCACUGAACGGAAGAACCUAUUAGUAAUAUUCUGACUG